UACAGAGGUCCCAAGCGUUGUUCGGAUUCAUUGGGCGUAAAGGGUGCGUAGGCGGAUCGUUAAGUCGGGGGUGAAAUCCUGGAGCUCAACUCCAGAACUGCCUUCGAUACUGGCGAUCUUGAGUCCGGAAGAGGUGAGUGGAACUCCUAGUGUAGAGGUGGAAUUCGUAGAUAUUAGGAAGAACACCAGUGGCGAAGGCGGCUCACUGGUCCGGUACUGACGCUGAGGUGCGAAAGCGUGGGGAGCAACAGG
rnacentral:rRNA from 1 species